rnacentral:rRNA from 1 species
GAUGAACGCUGGCGGCGUGCCUAAUACAUGCAAGUCGAGCGAAUAGACGAGGAGCUUGCUCCUCUGACGUUAGCGGCGGACGGGUGAGUAACACGUGGAUAACCUACCUAUAAGACUCGGAUAACUUCGGGAAACCGGAGCUAAUACCGGAUAAUAUAUUGAACCGCAUGGUUCAAUAGUUAAAGACGGUUUUGCUGUCACUUAUAGAUGGAUCCGCGCCGCAUUAGCUAGUUGGUAAGGUAACGGCUUACCAAGGCAACGAUGCGUAGCCGACCUGAGAGGGUGAUCGGCCACACUGGAACUGAGACGCGGUCCAGACUCCGACGGGAGGCAGCAGUAGGGAAUCUUCCGCGAUGGGCGAAAGCCUGACGGAGCAACGCCGCGUGAGUGAUGAAGGUCUUCGGAUCGUAAAACUCUGUUAUUAGGGAAGAACAAAUGUGUAAGUAACUAUGCACGUCUUGACGGUACCUAAUCAGAAAGCCACGGCUAACUACGUG